AGUGGCGAACGGGUGAGUAAUGCAUAGGAAUCUACCUAGUAGUAUGGGAUAGCCACUAGAAAUGGUGGGUAAUACUGUAUAAUCCCUGUGGGGGAAAGAUUUAUCGCUAUUAGAUGAGCCUAUGUUAGAUUAGCUAGUUGGUAGGGUAAAGGCCUACCAAGGCAGUGAUCUAUAGCUGGUCUGAGAGGAUGAUCAGCCACACUGGAACUGAGAUACGGUCCAGACUCCUACGGGAGGCAGCAGUGGGGAAUAUUGGACAAUGGGCGCAAGCCUGAUCCAGCUAUGCCGCGUGAGUGAGGAAGGCCUUAGGGUUGUAAAACUCUUUCAGUGGGGAAGAUAAUGACGGUACCCACAGAAGAAGUCCCGGCAAACUCCGUGCCAGCAGCCGCGGUAAUACGGAGGGGGCGAGCGUUGUUCGGGAUUAUUG
rnacentral:rRNA from 1 species